rnacentral:rRNA from 1 species
AGGGCACCACCAGGAGUGGAGCCUGCGGCUUAAUUUGACUCAACACGGGAAAACUCACCCGGCCCGGACACUAGCAGGAUUGACAGAUUGAGAGCUCUUUCUUGAUUUAGUGGGUGGUGGUGCAUGGCCGUUCUUAGUUGGUGGAGCGAUUUGUCUGGUUAAUUCCGAUAACGAACGAGACUCUAGCCUAUUAAAUAGCGCGCGCCGUCCGUACGGCCGGCGCGGCCGCCUCUUAGAGGGACAGGCGGCGACUCAGCCGCAUGAAAGAGAGCAAUAACAGGUCUGUGAUGCCCUUAGAUGUCCGGGGCCGCACGCGCGCUGCACUGAAGUGAUCAGCGUGCCUUCGUUCCUGCUCCGCUAGGAGUGGGCAACCCGAGGAACCUUCUUCGUGAUAGGGAUUGGGCUCUGUAAUUAUUGCCCAUGAACGAGGAAUUCCCAGUAAGUGCGAGUCAUCAGCUUGCAUUGAUUACGUCCCUGCCCUUUGUACACACCGCCCGUCGCUACUACCGAUUGAAUGAU